rnacentral:piRNA from 1 species
UACCAUUCUAACUCUGUGAAA